GCCUGAGAGGCUCAGUCAGUUAAGCGUCCGACUUCAGCUCAGGUCGUGAUCUUGUGGUUCGUGGGUUCGAGCCCCACAUCAGGCU
rnacentral:tRNA from 1 species